UUAGAAAGGGAACUCAGGCUUUGGGAGAUCACCUUUAAUGUUGGGGAAAUAACACCUUGAGAACCUCAUGUCGUGCCCCAUGUCUUGGUUCAUGAGGAUGCCUGCAUUUCAAACUUUCCAUCUGGGUUCAAUUUCCUUCGAGAAAAGGCAGAAGUAUAGAGAAGAACCUUGAGCGGACAUGGAGCAGAGUACUGGAAAUCAGCAAAUCCCGAGGCCGUGAAGACAAAGCUACUCACCAACUGAUCUUCCUUUUAUCCACAGUUUACAUCAACUGCGGAUGCAGAGGACAACCACACUCUGAAGUAAGCUGCAGAGCCAACAAUCAACGGCAGCCAAGACUCCACGGUGCACAGCUGGGUUUGCCUAGACGCCAGGCACUUGCAGAAAAGUCUUGAUGGGCAGUGAGGGCCAGGCUGAGCGCGUGGUGCUGGGACUGCACUGUCAGCCAUCACCUUGCCUGAGAGCAGCC